AUGCCGGCGGCAGGUGCCCUGGUCGUGUACAGGGCGGUGUUCGCCGCGCUCGGCUGCCUCAUGGUGGGCACCCUGGUGUACACCUGCAUCACCGACGGCUCGCCGUUCCGCGCCGAGCUGCUGACACCGUGGAUGAUGACAACACUGGUUGAUUUUUAUGUAAAUAUAGCAGCGAUUUCGACUUGGGUCGUCUACAAGGAAGGAAAUUGGAUUAGUUCUAUCUUCUGGGUAGUACUGUUGGUUUGUUUCGGCAGUGCCACUACAUGUGCUUAUAUUGUUAGCAAGUUAUUUGAGAUAACAUCUUCAGGGCUUUCCCAAAAUCCGCUUGAUCUUUUGUUGCUCAGGCAAGAUAAUCUACCCGAAAGGAAGUGUUCUUUUGUCGUCAUCGGGAGAACUAUUUUCAGCAUUUUGGGCAUACUCAUGGCUGCACUUGUCACGUAUACUGUCAUUACAGAUGGACUGCCUUUCAGGAAGGAUUUGUUGACACCGUGGAUGGCUGCAACCUUAAUUGACUUCUAUAUAAAUGUCUUUGCAAUAUCGGUAUGGGUUGUUCACAGGGAGUCGACUUGGAUCUCAGCAGUCAUUUGGAUAUGCUUGUUGAUAUGCUUUGGAAGCAUCACGACUUGUGGGUACAUUGUGGUUCAACUUCUACAAGUGUCAUACCAGGACCCAGUCUACCAUCUGCUACUGAAUUCCCAUAGCAAGUAUGGAGCUGCACCCUCACAAUCUGAAAACUCAUUGAAGGGGGAUAUGUUCUUGGUACACAAUAAUGUCCCCUCUGUUCAUAAAGGUGCCACAAUAAAGGGUAUACCAGAGUAG
rnacentral:rRNA from 1 species